CGGCAACGCACCACCCAACGCGCAAAGAGGGAGCGACGGCUAGCGAGCUGGGCGAGCGCGGACCUUCCAAGGAACGGCGUCAGCGAGCCCCCGACGAGGGAGAAGUGGAAGGAGGCAAGAAGAGAGGGACGCUGGCGAGCUAGGAAGCAGGGACGGCCAGCGCAGCGAGAUGGAGCACGACGCUGGAGGAGCAGAGGGAGAAGACGCCGACCAGGGAGAAGCGUGCGGCCAUGGACGAACUGCAGGCCGCGGCAGGGCGGGCACGAGGCCGGCCAGGGAGAGCAAGGGAGGGAGAUGGACUUGGCGAGCUGGAAGCCAAGCGCCGGCGAGCUGGAGGCCGGGAGGGCGCUCGGCCGGCGAGGUUGGCCGGCGGCACGGCACUGGGGACUGGCGUGGGAGGAUGCGCACGCAGGGACUCCACGGCGCGCAGAUGCCAGGGCGUGCGGCUAGGGAAGAAGAUGGAGCAGAGGACGCUGGCUUGGAGGAGCAGGGGGGUGCACGACGGCCAUGGGAAGCUGGGGCGCGCGCUUAAGGAGGGAGAGGAAGGAGCCGAGCACCAUGGGAACCAAGGCGGGGUUGCGGCCGGCGAGCUGGAGAUGGCCGGCGGCGCGAGCAGGGAAGGAGCAGAGGCCGAGCUCGGCGCACGGCAUAGCGAGUUCGAAGCGGUGCCGAGCAGGGGGAGCCGCCAUGGGCGAGAUCCGUGCUUGAGGGGCGCGGCAAACCUGAAGCCGAGCAGGCAGGGGCGGACGCGCCAGGAGCAAGGGAGCAGGUGCCAGGGACGCAACAGCAGGGAGAUGGGCACCGCGGCUGGAGAAGAUAGGAGGAGCGGCUGGGCACUAGAGAGCCGAGCAGGUGAUGUGCUGCACGAGGAAGAAGAAUGCGUAGCCAGAAGAUAAGCCC
rnacentral:misc_RNA from 1 species